rnacentral:rRNA from 1 species
UACAGAGGGGGGCAAGCGUUAUUCGGAAUUAUUGGGCGUAAAGGGCGCGUAGGCGGCUAUCCAAGUGGCGGGUGAAAUCCCUCGGCUUAACCGAGGAACUGCCUGCCAGACUGGAUGGCUCGAGACCGGGAGAGGUGAGUGGAAUUCCCAGUGUAGCGGUGAAAUGCGUAGAUAUUGGGAGGAACACCAGUGGCGAAGGCGACUUCUUGGCCUGUUCUUGACGCUGAGGCGCGAAAGCUGGGGGAGCAAACGGG